UUGGUUUAAAACGGGAGAAGUCCCCGGAGAUCCUUUAUAUUCUCUUGGUCGCGUUUGCACCGCGGUUAUUGCGGGGGACUGGUUGGGGGGACUUUCGC
rnacentral:tRNA from 1 species